rnacentral:tRNA from 1 species
GCCUUAAUGGUGUAAUGGUCAGCACGCUCGACGCGUAACCGAGAGGUCCGUGGUUCGAUUCCCGGCGAAGGCG